GAUGAACGCUGGCGGCGUGCUUAACACAUGCAAGUCGAACGGUGAACGAGGGAGCUUGCUCCUGUGGAUCAGUGGCGAACGGGUGAGUAACACGUGAGCAAUCUGCCCUGGACUCUGGGAUAAGCGUUGGAAACGACGUCUAAUACCGGAUACGAGGCGUGGGGGCAUCCCCAACGCCUGGAAAGAAUUUCGGUCCAGGAUGAGCUCGCGGCCUAUCAGGUAGUUGGUGAGGUAACGGCUCACCAAGCCUACGACGGGUAGCCGGCCUGAGAGGGUGACCGGCCACACUGGGACUGAGACACGGCCCAGACUCCUACGGGAGGCAGCAGUGGGGAAUAUUGCACAAUGGGCGCAAGCCUGAUGCAGCAACGCCGCGUGAGGGACGACGGCCUUCGGGUUGUAAACCUCUUUUAGCAGGGAAGAAGCGAAAGUGACGGUACCUGCAGAAAAAGCACCGGCUAACUACGUGCCAGCAGCCGCCGGUAAAAC
rnacentral:rRNA from 1 species